rnacentral:rRNA from 1 species
CGGGCAUUUUCGGUAUGUCAGCGGCAGACGGGUGAGUAACACGUGGGAACGUACCCUUCGGUUCGGAACAACUCUGGGAAACUGGAGCUAAUACCGGAUACGCCCUUAUGGGGAAAGGUUUACUGCCGAAGGAUCGGCCCGCGUCUGAUUAGCUAGUUGGUGGGGUAACGGCCUACCAAGGCGACGAUCAGUAGCUGGUCUGAGAGGAUGAUCAGCCACACUGGGACUGAGACACGGCCCAG